rnacentral:rRNA from 1 species
UGGCGGCGCGUCUUAAGCAUGCAAGUCGAACGGCAAGAGGUAGCAAUACCUCCUAGAGUGGCGGACUGGUGAGUAACACGUGGGUGACAUACCCUUCAGAUGGGGAUAGCUAUUAGAAAUAGUAGAUAAUACCGAAUACGAGCACAGGGGUUAGAGAUCUGUGAGGAAAGGAGCUAAGGCUCCGCUGAAGGAAUGGCCUGCGGCCCAUUAGCUAGUUGGUGAGGUAAGAGCCCACCAAGGCGAUGAUGGGUAUCCGGCCUUAGAGGGUGAACGGACACAUUGGGACUGAGAUACGGCCCAGACUCCUACGGGAGGCAGCAGCUAAGAAUAUUCCGCAAUGGACGAAAGUCUGACGGAGCGACGCCGCGUGGAUGAAGAAGGCCGGAAGGUUGUAAAAUCCUUUUGAAACUGAAGAAUAAGCGUUGUAGGGAAUGACAGCGUGGUGACAGUAGGUUUUGAAUAAGCAACGGCUAAUUACGUGCCAGCAGCGGC